rnacentral:rRNA from 1 species
AUGGGACAACAAGAUCAAGAUGUCGUGGGCUACUACAAUUACCUCUUCAUGGCCACCCUCCUGCUACUCCCUUUCUUCCUCAUCGCCAUCUUCAAACCGCCGCGCAAGCACGAACGCGAGAACCUUCCCCCGGGGCCAUGGCGGCUGCCGGUCAUCGGCAGCAUUCAUCACCUCAUCGGCGCACUACCACACCACGCCAUGCGUGACCUCGCCCGUCGGUACGACGCCCCGCUCAUGCUGCUCCGCCUCGGGGAGCUCAACGUCAUCGUGGCCUCGUCCGCCGUCGCGUCGAGGGAGAUCAUGAAGACCCACGACGCGACAUUCGCAACACGGCCACGGACCACCACCCUCCGCGCCAUCACGACAGACGACCUCGCCAUCUCCCUUGCACCCACGGCGAGCAGUGGCGCCGCCUCAAAAAGCUAUGCGUCACCGAGGUACUCAGCGCGCGGCAAGUCCGGUCCCUCCGGGGAUGCCGCGAGGCCAACGCCGCCGCCCUAG